rnacentral:rRNA from 2 species
UAUCCUGUCUGAAUAUGGGGGGACCAUCCUCCAAGGCUAAAUACUCCUGACUGACCGAUAGUGAACCAGUACCGUGAGGGAAAGGCGAAAAGAACCCCGGCGAGGGGAGUGAAAAAGAACCUGAAACCGUGUACGUACAAGCAGUGGGAGCACCCUUUGGGUGUGACUGCGUACCUUUUGUAUAAUGGGUCAGCGACUUAUAUUCUGUAGCAAGGUUAACCGAAUAGGGGAGCCGGAGGGAAACCGAGUCUUAAUUGGGCGUUAAGUUGCAGGGUAUAGACCCGAAACCCGGUGAUCUAGCCAUGGGCAGGUUGAAGGUUGGGUAACACUAACUGGAGGACCGAACCGACUAAUGUUGAAAAAUUAGCGGAUGACCUGUGGCUGGGGGUGAAAGGCCAAUCAAACCGGGAGAUAGCUGGUUCUCCCCGAAAGCUAUUUAGGUAGCGCCUCGUGAAUUCAUCUCCGGGGGUAGAGCACUGUUUCGGCUAGGGGGCCAUCCCGGCUUACCAACCCGAUGCAAACUGCGAAUACCGGAGAAUGUUAUCACGGGAGACACACGGCGGGUGCUAACGUCCGUCGUGAAGAGGGAAACAACCCAGACCGCCAGCUAAGGUCCCAAAGUCAUGGUUAAGUGGGAAACGAUGUGGGAAGGCCCAGACAGCCAGGAUGUUGGCUUAGAAGCAGCCAUCAUUUAAAGAAAGCGUAAUAGCUCACUGGUCGAGUCGGCCUGCGCGGAAGAUGUAACGGGGCUAAACCAUGCACCGAAGCUGCGGCAGCGACACUGUGUGUUGUUGGGUAGGGGAGCGUUCUGUAAGCCUGUGAAGGUGUGUCGUGAGGCAUGCUGGAGGUAUCAGAAGUGCGAAUGCUGACAUAAGUAACGAUAAAGCGGGUGAAAAGCCCGCUCGCCGGAAGACCAAGGGUUCCUGUCCAACGUUAAUCGGGGCAGGGUGAGUCGACCCCUAAGGCGAGGCCGAAAGGCGUAGUCGAUGGGAAACGGGUUAAUAUUCCCGUACUUGGUGUUACUGCGAAGGGGGGACGGAGAAGGCUAUGUUGGCCGGGCGACGGUUGUCCCGGUUUAAGCGUGUAGGUGUGUGUUCCAGGUAAAUCCGGUUCACUUUAACACUGAGGCGUGACGACGAGGCACUACGGUGCUGAAGCAACAAAUGCCCUGCUUCCAGGAAAAGCCUCUAAGCAUCAGGUAACAUCAAAUCGUACCCCAAACCGACACAGGUGGUCAGGUAGAGAAUACCAAGGCGCUUGAGAGAACUCGGGUGAAGGAACUAGGCAAAAUGGUGCCGUAACUUCGGGAGAAGGCACGCUGACACGUAGGUGAAGUGAUUUACUCAUGGAGCUGAAGUCAGUCGAAGAUACCAGCUGGCUGCAACUGUUUAUUAAAAACACAGCACUGUGCAAACACGAAAGUGGACGUAUACGGUGUGACGCCUGCCCGGUGCCGGAAGGUUAAUUGAUGGGGUCAGCGCAAGCGAAGCUCCUGAUCGAAGCCCCGGUAAACGGCGGCCGUAACUAUAACGGUCCUAAGGUAGCGAAAUUCCUUGUCGGGUAAGUUCCGACCUGCACGAAUGGCGUAAUGAUGGCCAGGCUGUCUCCACCCGAGACUCAGUGAAAUUGAACUCGCUGUGAAGAUGCAGUGUACCCGCGGCAAGACGGAAAGACCCCGUGAACCUUUACUAUAGCUUGACACUGAACAUUGAGCCUUGAUGUGUAGGAUAGGUGGGAGGCUUUGAAGUGUGGACGCCAGUCUGCAUGGAGCCGACCUUGAAAUACCACCCUUUAAUGUUUGAUGUUCUAACGUGGACCCGUUACCCGGGUUGCGGACAGUGUCUGGUGGGUAGUUUGACUGGGGCGGUCUCCUCC